AUUUCCAACCAGUGUGUGAUUUGGCCUUUGAACCUGGGUUUAACCUGGCUGGGGCUGGAACAGUACAACAGUAAAGAUCCCUGCUUCAGAGUCAGACCAACCCAGAUGAGAACGCAGGCUUCCCACCUCCUGCCCACGUAAUCUGGGACCAGUGGUGACUAAGAACUUCCAUAUAAAAGGUGUUUGGGGAUUGCAGACUGGUUGGAAGGGAAGUCGGGAGGACUUGCCUUGAAGCAGCUGCAGAGACCAUGAGCUGAAGACAGAAGCAUCACAAGAGGAAAGGAGCCUGGAUCCCUGAGUCAUCGACUGGAGGAGAACUGCAUAAGAAGCUGCCCCAGGCCUGGCACGGUGGCUCAUGCCUGUAAUCCCAGCACUUUGGGAGGCUGAGGCGGGCAGAUCACCUGAGGUCAGGAGUUCAAGACCAGCCUGGCAAACAUGGUGAAACCCUGUCUCUACUAAAAAUAGAAAAAUUAGCUGGGUGUGGUGGGCACUCGUAAUCCCAGCUACUUGGGAGGCUGAGGCAGGAGAAUUACUUGAACCUGGGAGGUGGAGGUUGCAGUGAGCCGAGAUCACGCCACUGCACUCCAGCCUGGGUGACAGAGCAAGACUCUGUCAAAAAAAAAAAAAGGAAGCCGCCCCAGCUGCAUCAGACUGUGAUAUGAGAGAGAAAUAAGCCUUAAUUUUGUUAAGCCGCUGAGGUUUGGUUUUCGCUUGUUGUUGUUGUUUUUGUUUUUAUAGCAGCUUGUGUUCUUUAUGCUGACUAAUAUAAUAUCUAAAUAUUGUUCUGCCUCAUAAUCAAUAUAUUUAAAAAGCCAGAGAUGAGGAAUCAAAAGCCUGACUGCUUUGAUUAAAAUCUAUGAAGUUGAAGGUGCAUA
rnacentral:lncRNA from 10 species